rnacentral:rRNA from 2 species
UUAAGCGACUAAGCGUACACGGUGGAUGCCCUGGCAGUCAGAGGCGAUGAAGGACGUGCUAAUCUGCGAAAAGCGUCGGUAAGGUGAUAUGAACCGUUAUAACCGGCGAUGUCCGAAUGGGGAAACCCAGUGCAAUUCGUUGCACUAUCGUUAACUGAAUACAUAGGUUAACGAGGCGAACCGGGGGAACUGAAACAUCUAAGUACCCCGAGGAAAAGAAAUCAACCGAGAUUCCCCCAGUAGCGGCGAGCGAACGGGGAGCAGCCCAGAGUCUGAAUCAGCUUGUGUGUUAGUGGAACGGUCUGGAAAGUCCGACGGUACAGGGUGAUAGUCCCGUACACCAAAAUGCACAGGCUGUGAACUCGAAGAGUAGGGCGGGACACGUGGUAUCCUGUCUGAAUAUGGGGGGACCAUCCUCCAAGGCUAAAUACUCCUGACUGACCGAUAGUAAACCAGUACCGUGAGGGAAAGGCGAAAAGAACCCCGGCGAGGGGAGUGAAAAAGAACCUGAAACCGUGUACGUACAAGCAGUGGGAGCACCUUCGGGUGUGACUGCGUACCUUUUGUAUAAUGGGUCAGCGACUUAUAUUCUGUAGCAAGGUUAACCGUAUAGGGGAGCCGCAGGGAAACCGAGUCUUAACUGGGCGUUAAGUUGCAGGGUAUAGACCCGAAACCCGGUGAUCUAGCCAUGGGCAGGUUGAAGGUUGGGUAACACUAACUGGAGGACCGAACCGACUAAUGUUGAAAAAUUAGCGGAUGACUUGUGGCUGGGGGUGAAAGGCCAAUCAAACCGGGAGAUAGCUGGUUCUCCCCGAAAGCUAUUUAGGUAGCGCCUCGUGAAUUCAUCUUCGGGGGUAGAGCACUGUUUCGGCUAGGGGGUCAUCCCGACUUACCAACCCGAUGCAAACUACGAAUACCGAAGAAUGUUAUCACGGGAGACACACGGCGGGUGCUAACGUCCGUCGUGAAGAGGGAAACAACCCAGACCGCCAGCUAAGGUCCCAAAGUCAUGGUUAAGUGGGAAACGAUGUGGGAAGGCACAGACAGCCAGGAUGUUGGCUUAGAAGCAGCCAUCAUUUAAAGAAAGCGUAAUAGCUCACUGGUCGAGUCGGCCUGCGCGGAAGAUGUAACGGGGCUAAACCAUGCACCGAAGCUGCGGCAGCGACACUAUGUGUUGUUGGGUAGGGGAGCGUUCUGUAAGCCUGCGAAGGUGACCUGUGAGGGUUGCUGGAGGUAUCAGAAGUGCGAAUGCUGACAUAAGUAACGAUAAAGCGGGUGAAAAGCCCGCUCGCCGGAAGACCAAGGGUUCCUGUCCAACGUUAAUCGGGGCAGGGUGAGUCGACCCCUAAGGCGAGGCCGAAAGGCGUAGUCGAUGGGAAACAGGUUAAUAUUCCUGUACUUGGUGUUACUGCGAAGGGGGGACGGAGAAGGCUAUGUUAGCCGGGCGACGGUUGUCCCGGUUUAAGCAUGUAGGCUGGUUGUCCAGGCAAAUCCGGAUAAUCAAGGCUGAGGUGUGAUGACGAGGCACUACGGUGCUGAAGUAACAAAUGCCCUGCUUCCAGGAAAAGCCUCUAAGCAUCAGGUAACAUUAAAUCGUACCCCAAACCGACACAGGUGGUCAGGUAGAGAAUACCAAGGCGCUUGAGAGAACUCGGGUGAAGGAACUAGGCAAAAUGGUGCCGUAACUUCGGGAGAAGGCACGCUGGUGUGUAGGUGAAGUCCCUGCGGAUGGAGCUGAGACCAGUCGAAGAUACCAGCUGGCUGCAACUGUUUAUUAAAAACACAGCACUGUGCAAACACGAAAGUGGACGUAUACGGUGUGACGCCUGCCCGGUGCCGGAAGGUUAAUUGAUGGGGUUAUCCGUAAGGAGAAGCUCUUGAUCGAAGCCCCGGUAAACGGCGGCCGUAACUAUAACGGUCCUAAGGUAGCGAAAUUCCUUGUCGGGUAAGUUCCGACCUGCACGAAUGGCGUAAUGAUGGCCAGGCUGUCUCCACCCGAGACUCAGUGAAAUUGAACUCGCUGUGAAGAUGCAGUGUACCCGCGGCAAGACGGAAAGACCCCGUGAACCUUUACUAUAGCUUGACACUGAACAUUGAGCCUUGAUGUGUAGGAUAGGUGGGAGGCUUUGAAGCGUGGACGCCAGUCUGCGUGGAGCCAACCUUGAAAUACCACCCUUUAAUGUUUGAUGUUCUAACGUUGGCCCCUGACCGGGGUUGCGGACAGUGUCUGGUGGGUAGUUUGACUGGGGCGGUCUCCUCCCAAAGCGUAACGGAGGAGCACGAAGGUUAGCUAAUCCUGGUCGGACAUCAGGAGGUUAGUGCAAUGGCAUAAGCUAGCUUGACUGCGAGCGUGACGGCGCGAGCAGGUGCGAAAGCAGGUCAUAGUGAUCCGGUGGUUCUGAAUGGAAGGGCCAUCGCUCAACGGAUAAAAGGUACUCCGGGGAUAACAGGCUGAUACCGCCCAAGAGUUCAUAUCGACGGCGGUGUUUGGCACCUCGAUGUCGGCUCAUCACAUCCUGGGGCUGAAGUAGGUCCCAAGGGUAUGGCUGUUCGCCAUUUAAAGUGGUACGCGAGCUGGGUUUAGAACGUCGUGAGACAGUUCGGUCCCUAUCUGCCGUGGGCGCUGGAGAAUUGAGGGGGGCUGCUCCUAGUACGAGAGGACCGGAGUGGACGCAUCACUGGUGUUCGGGUUGUCAUGCCAAUGGCACUGCCCGGUAGCUAAAUGCGGAAGAGAUAAGUGCUGAAAGCAUCUAAGCACGAAACUUGCCCCGAGAUGAGUUCUCCCUGAGACUUUAAGUCUCCUGAAGGAACGUUGAAGACGACGACGUUGAUAGGCCGGGUGUGUAAGCGCAGCGAUGCGUUGAGCUAACCGGUACUAAUGAACCGUGAGGCUUAACCUU